CGAUAAUCUGGUAACGCUGAUGCUGCCCCGAAGCAGUGAAGCAGUCAGGGCGGCGUAAGGGGCGUAACCAGACCCCUGCGGCCGGACUUGUCGAGUUUACGGUGUGAUAGUGAACGACUUGAUUGACGUAACUGAACAAGUGAACACUGACAAACGUGCUGCUAUCCGUGUGUCGUCUAUAAGCGUAAGACUGAAGCGCAGAGGCAGUUAAAUGAGGCUAUAGCUGGGCCUGAGGUGGAGGGACGCCAUCACCCCGCCCCGCCGACCCAAGGGACAGGCGAUCGAUAAGAAAACAACACAGACCUGUCCACCUCCUCCAUAGUCUGUCGGCCUGCCACCACUGCAGGUAAGUGGCUUAAAGGACUGGAGGGCUGCAUAGCUUGGGGACCACAGAGAGAGAGAGAAUGAGUGUCCUCUUAGUAGCUCUUCAAGUUGGAAAGGUUCAGAAAGAGACGGUGAGAGUGCGUCGAAACGUGAUGCUGAGGGGCGCAGUCAUAAUGGAAGCAAGCACGAUUUGGCUCAGUGCGAUGAAACUUCGUGCCAAUUAAAAGGUAUGUACACAAUUUAGUAUUUUCUUUUUAUUUUUUUAUCAAUUAUACGUUCACAUGUUUGCCCUUCCGUCCCUCUCUUGUCUUGUCCCUUUCCAUCCCUCUCCUGCACUUCCCAUCUCUUCGAUACGUUCCUCUCUCCUCUUCCCCUGACACUCAGUGACCUUCCUCCUUCCCUUCAUGUCACCCUCCAACAGCUCUCACUAUAAGCCCUCUCUGCCCCCCCUCACAACAGCCUAUUGCCAUCUUCCCUUGCCCACACUCCUCCCUCACUCCUCUUCAAUUCUUACCAUUUUCAUUCUCUUCGUCCCUCUCCCCAUCAUUUGUUUUCUAUCCUCUUUCUAUCCGUUGCCUCCUCUUUUGAUACUUUUCCCUCAAAUCUUACCUGUAUCUAUCCACCUGUCACCUGUCCUGCUAUCCAGCCACGUCCUGCACCUCUCCAACCUUUGACUGCUCCUCUAAGUACCUGCUCUUUUCUACCGCUACCUUGUCUCUUCCUUCACCCUUCUCUCCCUUCCUUCACCCUCAACA